CGAUUGAUUGUGGAAGGCAAUUCCUUGACAGUAAUUAAAAAUAUUCAAAAGAAAUGGAAUGAUAACUCAGUGAUCAGCUCGAUUACUCAUCACAUUUACAAUCUGGGUAUGAGCUUUGAAACAGUUUCUUACCUUGCUGUUCCCCGUGAAGCUAAUGAGGCGGCCCACGCACUGGCACUAGAGGGCAAGAAGCAAAAGGUUUGUGGGAGUUGGGUCCAGGGAGUGCCGGCGUCGGUGCGACUGGCGGCUUUGAAGGACUGUUCGGCUUGGUUUCAGAGGAGCUGAGCUUCUUUUACUUUGGAAAUGAAUUUGGUUCAUCCAAAGGUUCUUCUCUCAUUAUACUUGGUUCGGAUUCGAAAGGCAAGGAGAGUGUGGCUGAUAUUGGGGCUGGUAUUCUGCUGGUUGGCUCAAGGUUUCUUGCUUUUUUGUUUUAAUUUGUUAUGUCUUUUCGUUUGCUGGUUUACAGUUGUUUGGCUUGUCGUUUCUUCUUUCUGGUUGCUGACGUUUCUGUUACUGUUCACCUUGAGCUGUUAUCUAAUAUCAGUUUUAUUUCAAAAAAAA
rnacentral:lncRNA from 1 species